ACUAGCUCGUCGUUCGACCAGCUCAGCGUUUUGUGGGAUAUUUUUUAUGAAAGAACAGCUUUUUCAUUGAAUUAAGAGCAAUCGAACUCAUAAAACAGUUGGUUAAUACAAGAUUAAAUUAAAAAAAUAUCACCAACUGUUUCUGUUAAAAGAAAAUGCAUUCUAUGCUUUGCUGGAACUCGGUUGUUUGAGGUUACGGUGCAAGCGCAAGGAUAACAGUCAUCCAAGAUGAAAACGGUGCACAGUUUAGUAUUACUAGGAGUGAUAACUCUCAUCGGAAAUGCUACCGGUGAAUCCAAGAGCCAUCCCAUCACUACGCAGCUGUCUGCAAAAUGGGGCAUAACGCCAGUAGAACUGGAGAUAGCGGAAUUCAUUGAGGAGGAAAAUGUCAAUUUGUUUUGGGAUUAUAUCGAUCUGAUAAACAAAAUACCAAAUGGGUUGCACAGCAUAGGUACCGAGCAGGACCGAUAUAAGAAGUCAAUCGAGAUUGCCGAAGCUUUGCUUGGAAUCGGUCAAACGAACCUUCUGAAACUGGCAUUAUCGCUUCAUAGUUUCUCUGCAAAAGUUCAAGCCCAUCUUCAGAUUUCCAACGAGGUACUAAAACAAGGCGAUUGUGAGACAUCUGCUUUCGUGAACAUAGGAGGUAAGAUAGCGUGCGACGAAAGUGACCUAAGAAGUAUCCUGAAAGCGAUUGACACGGACCAAACGAAAGUGGAAACCUACAGUCUGGAUCACGUGUACCCAGCGUCGGAGAAUAACUCUUUAACAGCUAUCUUAUAUGCACAAAUUGGAACUGACGCGUUUCAAAAUAUCCACGUCAUUCUUAAGGAAGAAGCCGAGAAGGGAGCGAUUAAGUAUGUUUUCCGUCAUUUCAUCAAAAAUGUGUCGAGUAAGAAAAUGCGCUUGUCGGGCUAUGGAGUCGAAUUGCAUCUAAAAUCAACUGAGUACAAAAGUCAAGACGAUUCGCCCCAGCAGCAAGAUCAAGAAGCGAACCUUAACGACGAUUCAGCGGAACCAGAAGUUGAAGGUUUCGAUUUCGUCAAGCUCAAGGAGCGAUUGCCACAUCUUUCUCAUUCGCUAGAUCGGUUCCGCAAUUCAUUGCUGGAGAAGCAUGAAGAGAUUGCCCCACUCAAAGCGUGGGAGUUUCAGGAAUUGGGUCUGCAGGCAGCUCAGAGAAUUGCUCAAAUUCAGGGAGAAGAAGCGCUGCAGAUACUGCAGUUUACCGCUCAGAAUUUCCCAACGCAAGCCAAAUCCCUACUCGCUCAAGCAGUUUCGGAAGAUUUCAAAAAAGAAAUGCGGCAUAACAUUGAAGUUCUGGGACGCAAUCUGAAUCUUCAGCCGCCAGAUUCUGCUUUAUUUUUGAAUGGGUUGUUUUUCGAUGCUGACACAAUCGAUACGAUUACCCUGUUGGACACUCUCAGAACAGAAAUGCACGUAUUGGAAGGGCUUAAUAAGAUCAAUCUCCGUGGCAAGACGGCUGCUCCGCUGUUGGCGCUGGAUCUCUCGUCUACAUCCAAAGAAUUUGCCAUCGAUAUUCGUGAUUCUGCCAUCACGUGGAUCAACGAUUUGGAAAACGACGCCCAAUAUAGACGGUGGCCAGGCAGUGUCAUGGACCUGCUACGUCCUACUUUCCCCGGAAUGCUACGGAACAUUCGUAAGAAUCUGUUCAAUCUGGUGCUUGUUAUAGAUCCCAUUUCCUUUGACGAGAGCGGUCGAGGUAUCGUGAAGCUUGCGGAAAGUUUCGUUGUUCAUUCGGCUCCGGUUCGAGUAGGGUUGGUGUUUGACACUAGAGCAAGCUCGGAUAAGGAAGUCGACCACCGUGCCAUCGUAUGUGCUUUUAACUAUGCGCACCAGAAGAAAGGAUCCACCGACGCUCUCGGUUUUCUAACGGAUCUUUUUGCUGCAACAACGAAGCGUGACAUUACACAUGAUGAUGUUCGAAAGCAGUUGAAGAAAUCGUUCUCUAAGCUGAAAUCGGACGAAGUUGAUGAAAUUCUCGGUGAAGAUUCCGACUUUGACUACGGUCGACAGCUGUCACAGGAAUUCGUCGGAAGGUUAGGAUUGAAAACUACACCCCAGGCACUGAUGAAUGGCGUCCUGCUGUCGCAAAGCACGCUUAACACAGACGACUUCGAAGAAACCAUUCUAACGGAAAUUAUGCAACAAACACCCACCAUCCAAAAGGCCGUCUACAAGGGUGACCUGAACGACGGGGAACCGGCUAUCGACUAUCUGAUGAAACAACCGCACGUUAUGCCGCGAUUGAAUCAGCGGAUUCUUUCUGUCGAAGAUCCAGUUUUUCUGGACGUAUCCGGCAAUCCUCAUCCGGACCUCGAGGACGUAUCCGCUCUGGCACAAUUGUCAAACUCCGAUUUAACGGCUACACUGAUCAAGAAUCUGAAGUACCUGGGAGGAAAGUCCAGUUACGAGAAGUAUAUGGGCCAGCGAUUACAUUUACACAGCGUUUGGGUUGUGGCAGAUUUGCAACAAACCAACGGUCGUCAGCUCUUGCAGAAUGCGUUACGUUUUAUGAAAUCAACCAGCGGAACACGAGUGGCCUUCAUUCCCAAUGUAGACGGUACAGCUGCCGUUCGAUCUGAACUGAGGAAAGAUUUGAAUGCUCUCGUGUGGGCUACCAUCAACACACUUCAACCCGAUGAGGCAACGGAGGUGGUCAUAAAUCUCCUGAAGCAAGCUGAGGAGGGGAACGACUUCGAAGUUCCCGACCCAGUGUUCGGAUUCAUUCCAGCAACGCAACUUCAUUUAAAAAUGCUCCGCGUUUACUGUCAACGUGUGCUGAAAAUGAAAGCAUCUCUCAGUGCUCUGGUGGCCAACGGGCGCAUUCUGGGAACAUUCGAUCAGGACGAAGUUUUCGAUUCGGAAGAUUUCGGCUUGCUGGAAAAGUUCAUCAAUCUGCAAUACACCGAUAAGAUUCGACAGGCUCUCAAGGAGGCUUCUGUCGAUGAAGACGACGUUGAAAUCACCAGUGAUACCGUUUUCAAAUUGGUAGCAAUUUUAGUGCCUCGACAGCAGUCGAAAUCGCGUUUCAAUAUACCGGCAGAAAUCCAGGAAAAUCACACCGUGGUCCGACUUCCUCCCAAGUCAAAGGAUCUACCCUUCUUCGAGGUCGUUGCAGUGCUAGAUCCAGCCUCGAGAGGUGCGCAAAAGCUCUCGUCUUUGCUUAUCUUGUUGCGCAAUGUGAUCAACUGCAAUAUGCGAUUGAUUCUUUGUGCCGUAGACAGACACAGUGAUAUGCCGGUAAAAACAUUUUACCGAUUUGUCGUCGAACCGGAACUACAAUUCACAUCAGAUGGAAAGCUCGCUCCGGGUCCGUACGCCAAGUUCGUUGGAUUGCCUGCCAAUCCCUUGCUGACUCAAAGUCUCAACGUGCCCGAGAACUGGCUCGUAGAAGUGGUGAGAUCCGUAUACGACCUGGACAACAUAAAGCUUUCGGAAAUCAACGGACCGGUGCACAGUGAUUACGAGCUGGAAUAUCUGCUACUGGAGGGCCAUUGCUUCGACACUACAACGGGAUCUCCCCCACGAGGAUUACAAAUCACUCUCGGCACCGAGGAGCAUCCUAUUGUUGUCGAUACCAUUGUGAUGGCCAAUUUGGGUUAUUUCCAACUGAAAGCAAACCCAGGAGCUUGGAUCUUGAAAUUGCGUCACGGGAAGAGUGCCGAUAUCUACGACAUCACCAGCGCCGAAGGACCCAGCACAGUGCACUCCAGUGACGACACAAGAGUUAUCAUGAGUUCGUUGAAGUCACACGUAUUGAAGCUAAGGGUGACCAAGAAACCGGGCAAAGCUAGUGCUGAUUUGCUAGGUGAUGAUAAGGACUCCGGUGGUGGCAUAUGGGAUUCUAUUAGUUCCAUCGUAGGAUCCGGUGAUGCUCAAGAUAAAGAAGUGCUAAACAUUUUUUCUGUUGCGUCCGGUCAUUUGUACGAGCGUCUGCUACGAAUUAUGAUGCUGUCACUUUUGAAGCACACCAAAACUCCCGUCAAAUUUUGGUUCUUGAAGAACUAUCUAUCGCCACAAUUCAUAGACUUCUUGCCGUACAUGGCCAAAGAGUACAAUUUCCAGUACGAACUAGUACAGUACAAAUGGCCACGGUGGUUGCAUCAGCAAACGGAGAAACAACGGAUAAUUUGGGGAUAUAAAAUUCUUUUCCUGGACGUACUUUUCCCACUGGAUGUGAAAAAAUUUAUUUUCGUGGAUGCCGAUCAAAUCGUUCGUGCUGAUAUGAAGGAGCUCAAUGAUUUCGAUCUCGGCGGAGCACCGUAUGGUUAUACUCCGUUCUGUGACUCCCGUCAGGAAAUGGAAGGAUUCCGAUUUUGGAAACAAGGAUAUUGGAGGAACCACUUGCAAGGCCGAAAGUACCACAUUUCGGCGCUGUACGUGGUCGAUUUGAAGCGUUUCCGUAAGAUUGCCGCCGGGGAUCGUAUCCGCGGACAGUAUCAAGCACUGAGUCAGGAUCCAAACAGUUUGUCGAAUCUGGAUCAAGAUUUGCCAAAUAAUAUGAUACACCAGGUUGCAAUUAAAUCUCUGCCCCAGGAAUGGUUAUGGUGCGAAACCUGGUGCAGUAGCGAUACACUGCAACACGCAAAGACCAUUGAUCUUUGCAAUAAUCCUCUGACAAAGGAGGCUAAACUGACCGCGGCCCAAAGACUCGUGCCCGAAUGGAAAGACUACGACACGGAGAUAAAACGACUUCAAGCUAAGGUGGACGAACUUGAACACGAGGCUGGUCAGAUUUCACAUUCCCAAGGAGAUGCUUCCUCCAACCAAGAAGCGCAACACACUGAGCUGUAAUAGAAUUUCAACGUAAAAUAAAUCAGCAUUUUGAAAUUAAAAUUAAAUCUAAGCCAAUGGUCAGCUCCAUGAGAACUGUGUUUGCUGUGAUUAUUUAAUGGUUGUUUUUGCGUUGUUUCACCUUUAGAACCACGAUGCCACUGGUUCACACACCAGAAGACAGAAAUUCUACUGAUUUGAAAGGUUAAUAAAAUUGUACAACCAUCUC